AGGAUGGCUCUACCCUGGCCGGGCUCUACAGCUCUGCUCCUGCUAUGGGUAUGUUGCACCGCAGGGGAGGUAAGAAACUGUGGCUAUUUGGACAUACCAAACGGACAUGUGUAUGGCAACGAACCAGCAACAUCAUUUCCGAAAAGACUGGGUGACAAACAUUAUUAUAGGUGUGAUUCUGGUUUUCUGCCACCAAAUAAGGCACACUGGCAAACAAUUGUGUGCACUAGAUCUGGCUGGGAUCCAGAACCAAAUUGCUUCA